rnacentral:rRNA from 1 species
UUCCGUAGGUGAACCUGCGGAGGGAUCAUUGCUGGAACGCGCUUCGGCGCACCCAGAAACCCUUUGUGAACUUAUACCUAUUUGUUGCCUCGGCGUAGGCCGGCCUUUUGUGACAAAGGCCCCCUGGAAACAGGGAGCAGCCCGCCGGCGGCCAACCAAACUCUUGUUUCUAUAGUGAAUCUCUGAGUAAAAACAUAAAUGAAUCAAAACUUUCAACAACGGAUCUCUUGGUUCUGGCAUCGAUGAAGAACGCAGCGAAAUGCGAUAAGUAAUGUGAAUUGCAGAAUUCAGUGAAUCAUCGAAUCUUUGAACGCACAUUGCGCCCUCUGGUAUUCCGGAGGGCAUGCCUGUUCGAGCGUCAUUUCAACCCUCAAGCCUGGCUUGGUGAUGGGGCACUGCCUUCUAACGAGGGCAGGCCCUGAAAUCUAGUGGCGAGCUCGCUAGGACCCCGAGCGUAGUAGUUAUAUCUCGUUCUGGAAGGCCCUGGCGGUGCCCUGCCGUUAAACCCCCAACUUCUGAAAAUUUGACCUCGGAUCAGGUAGGAAUACCCGCUGAACUUAAGCAUAUCAAUAA